GAAGAUUUAGGUUAACUAAACCAUAAGCCUUCAAAGCUUAUAACACAAAUUAAAACUUUGUAAUCUUUG
rnacentral:tRNA from 1 species